UUGGAUAUAGCUCACUGGUAGAGCACUUGCCUAGCAAGCAAAAAAUCCAUAGGUUCUACCCUUAACCAUG
rnacentral:tRNA from 1 species